UAAAAAGCGAGUGAGAAGAAGUUAUUGGUGGUUCCAGUUCCACUUACCAGGUCAGGGAUGGGGACUUCUCCAUCUGUCCCAGAGAAAUCAAUCCAUGAAUUCUCCGUCAAGGAUGCCCGCGGUCAGAAUGUUGACCUCAGCAUCUACAAAGGCAAGGUUCUUCUCGUGGUUAAUGUCGCCUCCAAAUGUGGAUUUACAGAUUCCAAUUACACCCAGUUGACUGAUCUUUAUAACAAGUAUAAGGACAAAGAUUUUGAAGUCUUGGCAUUUCCAUGUAAUCAAUUUCUGAAACAAGAGCCAGGGACAAGCGAAGGUGCACAGGAGUUUGCUUGUACCAGAUACAAGGCUGAAUAUCCAAUUUUUCAAAAGGUUCGCGUCAACGGGCCAAAUACAGCUCCUGUCUACAGAUUUCUCAAGGCGAGUAAAUUUGGAAUUAUGGGGUCCAGUAUAAAGUGGAAUUUUACCAAGUUUUUAGUCAAUAAGGAAGGGCAAGUCAUUGCUCGCUAUGGCACGACCACCACUCCUUUGUCCAUUGAGGCUGAUAUCAAGAAAGCAUUGGAAAUAGAGUGAGAAAUAUGCCACUAACAGAUUCAGUAAAAGCUUAAUCAAAAAACGUAAAGCUUUUAAAUGGGUAUGCUAUUCUCC
rnacentral:misc_RNA from 1 species